AUUGAACGCUGGCGGCAUGCUUUACACAUGCAAGUCGAACGGUAACAGGCCGCAAGGUGCUGACGAGUGGCGAACGGGCGAGUAAUGCAUCGGAACGUGCCCAGUCGUGGGGGAUAACUGCUCGAAAGAGCAGCUAAUACCGCAUACGACCUAUGGAUGAAAGCGGGGGACCGUAAGGCCCCGCGCGAUUGGAGCGGCCGAUGUCGGAUUAGGUAGUUGGUGGGGUAAAGGCUCACCAAGCCAACGAUCUGUAGCUGGUCUGAGAGGACGACCAGCCACACUGGGACUGAGACACGGCCCAGACUCCUACGGGAGGCAGCAGUGGGGAAUUUUGGACAAUGGGGGCAACCCUGAUCCAGCAAUGCCGCGUGCAGGAAGAAGGCCUUCGGGUUGUAAACUGCUUUUGUACGGAACGAAACGGUCUGGGUUAAUACCCUGGGCUAAUGACGGUACCGUAAGAAUAAGCACCGGCUAACUACGUGCCAGCAGCCGCCGUAACAC
rnacentral:rRNA from 1 species